AGAUAGCGGAGGAAAGAACCAACCGGGAUUCCCUGAGUAAGGGCGACUGAAAGGGGAUGAGCCCAGCGCAUAACCUCGCGGUCGGUUUGCGGCCGUUGAGGGGUGUUGCGUUUCGGUGGAUCCGUACCGCUCGAGUUGCUGACCGCCUAAGUCAUUGCUUGAAUGCAGCCCCGAGGAGGGUGGUAGGCCCGUGUGGCGGCGCCUGUAAAAAGGUUGUAGGCAACUUGGGCGGAGGGAUGUUUACCGUAGAGUCGGGUUGCUUAGUACUGCAGCCCUAAGUAGGUGGUAAACUCCAUCUAAGGCUAAAUACUACCACGAGUCCGAUAUUUGACAAGUACCGUGAGGGAAAGCUGAAAAGGACUCUGAAGAGAGAGUUCAAGAGGACGUGAAACCAUUAGAAGCUGAAACGCGGUGGAACCGUGAAGGUCGAAAGAGGGGAUUCAGGCUGUGGGCGGGUGUGCGCUAGUGCCAGGUGGGCUGUUGAGAGAAGGCCCCGGCGUACCAGUGAGUUGCCGUGGGCCCCUGGCCGUGCGCGCGCCUGCCGGCGGACUUAGUUCUCCCUCGAGUAGCUGAGGUGGCGACCCGCUGGCCGGAGCCCGAGGGCCCCUGCGGACUGGUAGCCCGCACUUCGCGUGCGGGUGAGGACCGCCGGGGGCGCCAGGUGGUUCUGGCCGGCGGUCACUGCAAGGAGGCGGGCCCGCGCUUCUGGCGCGGGCUCGCCUCUCGCCAUGUGAGAGUGAUCGGUAAUCCAGCCGUCG
rnacentral:rRNA from 1 species